rnacentral:sRNA from 1 species
AAACAAAUAUUUUUAUACCGAGACGAGCUGUUGCCCAGUGGUAAAUCUUCUAGGUACAUGUGUUAGCUUCGAGGCACAUCGGAAGAAAUCUCUUCUUCAAAAAAAUAAAUUUAACCUGCUGUGGGUCUUCUUUCUGGGAGAUGUAGCGCAUUUGGGUUUGAGAUUCGAGAUAUUCACACAUAAAAAAAACAAAUAUUUUGUAACCAUAAAAUUUAUACAUUUAUAAAUUUUAACUUAAUGAACUGUAUGUUAUUGUUCCUAUAUUAUUAAACGGUUAAAUUCAAAUAUAGCAAU